ensembl:lincRNA
AUUCUCGGAACACCCUCCUACUCAUGCCCACAACCUACCUUUCAUUUCCUUUCCUCUCAAAGGGGAGGAGGAGGAAGCCAUCGAUUCUCCUCCCACUCACCAGUGUCAGCCUCUGCCCUGAAAACUGUUUUCUUCAGAAGCUGGUUGCACCUUCUCAUCUUCCACCUGCCAGCUUGCCUUGCCUCUUAAGUCUUGUUUUUCUCUCCUCACCCUAUCGCCAAGCCUCACACAUCUCAGCUUCCUCUAUGCAUCAGAAGUUCAUCAAGGGACAUAAGGAGGGAGAAGAAAGAAAUAGGAGCCCUCAAGGAAGGGAGUCAAAAUGGAAGAAGACUUGAAGGAUGGAUGAAAAACUCAACCUUUAUUUAUUACCAAUGGAAUAUUAGGAACAAUUAAAAUGAAAGUACGUGGUAUCUAUUACAAUAAUUGAUUCAUAAGUAACAAAACCAAAGAUUAAAAAGGUUAAGAAAAAUUCACAUACUUUCUAAACUGUGGGACCAGAAUUCGCAUUCAUGCUCUUCACAUUAUAUUAAAUGGAUCAAAGAGGAAAUAAAUUUAUCAUGGAAUAAAGUCCAUUGAAACCAAAUUAGAUGCUGGUAAAUUUAACAAACUUCCCCUUCAUUCUUAACCCUUUCAGAGGAGACCAACUGCCUUUUGCUUUAAUUGAAACCUGGUUUUCCCCUAAGCAUAUCAUUCCUUUGUAACCUUUUAUCAGAAUCUGUUCUUUUUCCUAUAUCGAUGUACUGCUGCAUCAGUUCUUGUUAAAUCCAUUUCUUUUUCCCUUUUAUUGCCUAUAAACCAUCAAUCAUUCUUUGAGGCUUGGAAAAAUAUUUUCCUCCUUCAAAAUUGGUACUUAUUAUUUCUCACUUCUUAGUCUUACAAAAAAGGAAGGGAAUUUCCACUCUGUUCCACCCUAGAAAGGAAAGGUUUGGGAAAAGCACUUCUUAAUUCUCUUUCACUCCCCCCUUCCAGCCUGAGAAGUGGUUCAUCCAGUUGGUGAGAAAAGUUCAUUGGACUGGUGAGAGGGGAAAGGCACACAACCUGGGCUCGUUUCCAUCUUUGUUUAAACAUGUCCUCCAGAAGAGCUCAGGCCUUCUGCUGUACUUCUGGCUCUGUGGGAAGCCUUCAGUGCUCUCGUCAAGAGCAGUGCUACUCAAAAUGUGGUUGAAAGACAGACUGAUGACAGUCUGCAAAGCGCUACCAGCCAGGGACUGAUUAAGUUAAGGAACUGUUAAGUACAGAAAUUAUUUUUGAACACUUGUAGAAAUUUAACAUCGCCACUUUAUCCAAGAGCUCGUUAGCGGAUUUCUAUCACCGACAACAGUAGACCCCAGGUCAGAAAUUUUCAAAGUUGCUUUGAUGAGACACAUGCAGUGAGAGCUACACACCUAGUAUAUUUACUGCAAGAUAUUUUUUCACAUUUAAAACUUUAUUUUCAGAACAGUUUUAGGUUUACAGAAAAAAUACGGAAAGCCCACAGAGUUCUCAUAUGCCCCCUUUUGACCCAGCAUACAUUUUCCUCUGUUAUUAACAUCUUUUUCGUUAAUAUAGCAAUUUGUUACAAUUGAUGAAUUUAUAUUGAAACAUUACUAUCAAUUAUGGUCCAUAGCUUACAUUAGGGUUCACUCUUGCAUUGUACAGUUCUAUGAGUUUUGACAAAUGAAUGAUGUCAUGUAGCUACAAUUAUGGUACCAUGCAGAAUAGUUUCACUGCCCUAAAACUAUCCUGUACUCCACCUCUUCUUCCCUUUCCCCUCCUCCUGAACCUCUGACUAUCACUGAUCAUUUCACUGUCUCUAUCUUUUCCAGAAUAUCAUAUAGUUAGAAUUAUACAGUAUAUACCUAUAUACUAUAUAUACCUAUAUACCUAUUUCAGACUGGCUUCUUUCACAUAGCAAAGUGCAUUUAAGUUUCUUCCAUGUCUUGUAAUGGCUUGAUAGAUCAUUUCUAUCACUGAAUAAUGUUCCAUUAUGUGGAUAUGCCACAAUUUAUUCAUUCACAUAUUAAAGGGCACCUUGGUUAUUUCCAAUUUUUAGCAAUUAUGAGUAAAGCUGCAAUAAAUAUUUAUGUGCAGAUUUUAUGUGUGGACCUAAAUUUUCAACUCAUUUGGAUAAAUACCUAGGAGUACGAUUGCAGGAUCAUAUGUAAAGCCUACAUUUAGUUUUGUAAAAAAAGUCUCAGACCGUCUACCAUUUUGCAUUCUCACCAGUAAUAAAUGAAAGUUCUCGUGGCUCCACAUUCUCACCAGCAUUUGGUACUGUCAGUGAUUUGGAAUUUAGCCAUUCUAAUAAGUGUGCAGUGGUACAUCAUUGUUUUAAUUUGUAUUUUCCUAAAGAUGUGAUGUUUGAGCAUUUUUUCAUAUGUUUAUUUGCCAUCUGUAUAGCUUCUUUGGUGAGAUUAGCAUGAGAUUUUAACUGCAACUUCCCAAAUGUAAUCUAAAAGUAUAUAAAAAUCUGAGAAUAUUUAUUUUGUAACAUGCUAGUUUUGUUAUUAUUUUAAUGUCAAUAAGAUAUAUAUAUUUUUUUGAGUGUGAUGUUUAGGCUAAUGUGUCAACUCAAUGAGCUAAUUAUGUCCAGUUGUUUGUUCAAGCAAACACUGGGUUAAUUGUAAUGCAAAGACAUUUAUGGACUUUAGUCAUUAGAGAGUUUAUUGCAUAAAGGAGAUUGCCAUCAACAAUGAAUAACAUUUUAUCCAAUCAGUUGAAUGACUUAAAAAGGGAAAUGAUUUCAGCAUUCAGAGAGAAUUUUCCAGCUGGCCUUGAGACAGCCAAGGUCUCCUGGGAACUUACCAAGCACCUUCAUCGAAGCCCCUGAUUUGCAGCCUGCUUGUGGAAUUUGGACUUGUCCAUUCCCAUGGCUAUAUGAGAGAAUUUUAUAAAAUCGCAUAUUAUUUGCAGAUAUCUUCUGUUAAUUCUGAUUCCCUAGCGAAUCCUGACUAAUACAAUAAGUUUAAUAUCAUUAGCUCAAUUAAGAAAGUAAAAUUUGUAUCAUUUAAAAUGCUGAGCUUCACUAUAAUAUUCAUCCAAGAAAUGCUGGGUGAAUCUAGAGGAAAACAUUACUCAAAACACUUUUUUUUUUCUGAAUAUGACUGUACUAGUAAACCAACUGAUGAUGUUGGAAACAGUUUUGAAGAAAUGAACACCGAAUGAGUUUGUACUCUCUUUAUUCAGAAUUUUGAUUCCUCAUUUCUUGAAUUUUUUUUUUUUCAGGGACCAGGAGCCAAGGACUGAACCCAGGACCUCAUACGUGGGAAGCCAGCACUUAAUCAUUGAGCCACAUCAGCUUCCCUGAGUUGGUUUUUUUGUUUUUCUUGCUUGUUGUUUGGUUUUGGUUUUGUUUUUUUUUCAGGAGGUAAGAGCUUAAUCACUUAAGCCACAUUGGCUCCCUUGAAUUUCAUUUUGCAGCCAUAAUUGUGAAGUGCUGAAUAUAGAGUGUGUUAUUUGCAGAGAUGUAUUGAUUAAGGAAGCAAAGACAUUUUAUGUCUUUUUAAUAUAAUAAAAGAAAUGACACUUGUAUUUUUACGCCUUUAUUUUCCUUGUAAUUUUUUUUCAAAAGUAUCAAUCCAGAAUUUUAGGAAAUUUUUUUUAAAAAACAGGCUCUUCAUUACAGAUAAUUUAAGAUGGGCUGAUCUAAAGACUUUCUCUUCAUAUAUUUAUAUUUUUUUAGCUAGUGUGAUUGUUCUGUGGACCCCACCUACCCACCUACCAUCUACUUACCCUUGACUAUGUCCUCCAAAGUUUAAACUUGGAAAAAAAGUCUGAAGUUACCAGCAAAGAGACCAUAUUUAAAGCCAUAGAAAUAAAAGGACUCUUUUGGGGAGAAAGUAUAGAAAAAUAAGUACAGAUCCUUGAUCCAAGGAUAGCGAAUGGGAGGAGGACAGGGAUACAGUACAGAAGAUGACCCUCUCCUUUAUUGAUUUUUCCAGGCCAUUUGGCUUUCAUGGGAGCCAUUCAUGCAUGUCAAGGAGUAACCAUGGGUUUCAGUUUCUAGUAGGAUGAAAAGAGUAUGUACUUAUAAAUUAUUUCAGCUCAGACUUGAUUAUUUAUCAUUCCUUCAGUCAUCUUCUAGAUUGUCAGCUCUUGGCCGAUCCAUAUUCUUAGCAAAGUGGGAAAAACCAGAAGGAAAGAAAAGAAGAGGUGAUCUCUUAUGGUAUCUGUGAGUAUUUUUACCAAAUGGAACAGAAAGUAAAAUCCUCAUUAAAACUGUAUGUGGCUUAAUUUAAGACAAUUACAGUUCACAUAAAAAAGACUCUGGGUGGGGACUUGGCCCAGUGGUUAAGGCAUCAGUCUACCACAUGGGAGGUCCACAGUUCAAACCCUGGGCCUCCUCGACCUGUGUGGAGCUGGCCCAUGCCAGCGCUGAUGCGCGUAAGGAGUGCCGUGCCACGCAGGGGAGCCCCAUGUGCAAGGAGUGCGCCCCAUGGGGAGAGCCACCCAGCAUGAAAGAAAGUGCAGCCUGCCUAAGAAGGGCACCGCCCACACGGAGAAAUGACACAACAAGAUGACGCAGCAAAAAGAAACACAGAUUCCCGUGACACUGACAACAACAGAAACGGACAAAGAAGAAGAUGCAGCCAAUAGACACAGAACAGACAACCGGGGUGGGAGUGAAGGGGAGAGAAAUAAAUAAAUAAAUACAUCUUUAAAAUAAAAAAAAAAGACUGUAUUCCUAGAUGACUUUUCCCUUCUUCUGGAUUCAGUUUUCAUAAAAGUGAGGUAAUAUUCAAUGGGAAUAUCACUGAACUGGGAGUUUGCAGAUUAUUUUCCAACUCCACUUCCGUAGCUUUCUUGUUAAGUGCUUGGACUAAUCAUUUUCACUGCCUUGGCUUCAGUUUCCUCAUCCCAGAAGGAGGUCUGGAUAAGAGGAGACCAUAGUAUCUGACCCUGCUCCCAUACCUCCUUCAUUCUCUACCUUUCCCCAGGCUCACUUGACUCACUUUGCUCUAACCACACAAGCAUGGUUUCUGUCCUCAAUUCAUGCCAACUGAUUCAAGCCCCAGGAACUUUCCUUUGUGUCAUUGUUCUCCUUGCCUAGUUGUGUUCAGUCACAUCAUUUCGUUUUAUUUUUUCAUUGAUUUUAUCACUAUUUUAAAAUAAUUAACUUGCUUGUUUUCUUUCUUAUCAGUCACUCUCCCUAGAAUAUAAUCUCCUUGAAAAUAAGUUGAUAUAAUAAAUGUUUGUAUAAUAACAAUAUUUGGUAUAUGUCAGGUAUGAAAUAAAUAGUUCCUAAAUGAAUCAAUGAUUUUCAAAAUACAUUAUUGUCAAACACUAUUUUUCAAAUAAAAUCUUCCCUGGACACUUGAUACAUAAACU